rnacentral:lncRNA from 1 species
UUUUAUUUACUUUUUAUAUAUUUUUCUCCUCACUUUUCCUCAUCAUCUUCUUUUCUCCCCAAAUGAAACCCUAGUCGCCUUGCACUGUCGUCGUAGUCAGUGCUCCAUUCAUGCCGCCAAUACCAUUGUAAUAAGCUCCACCGUCUUAUCUUCACUUCUCUCGGGUUAAAUUUUUGCAAACCCAAACCAAGCCUUCGAAAACUCCAACAAAUGCUUGAAGCAAACAACCCCAAUUCGCCACUAUCUGCUGUUACUUCGGCCUCAUUCUCUGGUAUGUUGCUCCCCUCUACCUCUUCAGACUCCCCUUGUUCGAAUCUUCAAGAGGUGAACUUGAACCUUGAAAAUCAAGGAGCCCAAAGAUAAGCUUCUUCUCUCUUUUUCUAUUUUAUUUUCUGAUUUGGGUUGAUUUUUUUUAGAUUCCAACUAAAGGCUCUAAACUUCUCCUCUCUUUUUGUUGUGGUUUAUUGUUGUUAAUGGGUAACGAAUGGAAAUAGAUUGCUUGCAUAUAUAAUUCUAAGUUUGUUUUUUUUUCCUUUUCUAAUUUCAAUUCCAAAGAAUUUUCAUUUGAGAAAUCUUGAGGGUAUCUGAUUAUUGUAAAUAUAAGAAACCAAGUACUACAAAGGAAUCUUGUAUAUUUGUAGUCAUUUAGAUUGAGAUUUUUGUAUAGAUUUAGGGAUAUGUCUAAAGUAGAGAUAUUGGAGAUGACUAGUUUUCAAGAGAAAUUGGAGAUAGAAAAAUUGAUCGAACAAUGGAUCUAAGGGAGAAGAAGAAGAUGAUGAUGAUGAAUGAAGUCAUAGAAAUCUAGCGGAGAAGAAUUAUAAUGGCCUAAUUUUCAGUGGUACAAAAAAUGCAGUUUCGGAACCCCAUUUACUUAAAUUGAGCCUGUGUAUAUAAAAUAGAAAUAUUUAUGGAGUUAAUAUGAGAAUAUACUAAAGAAUGGUCAAGUAAUUUGGCCGAUAAGUCGUUAAUUAAAAAUUAGGAACUAAAUUGUAAAAUUUCAAUCACUAUCGAGUUUUAAUUAAAAAAGGCUUGAGAACCUAGAUUACAAUUAACCAAAGGGUCAAAAUGGUUAUUAAACCGUUUCCAUUACGAGAUAGUGGACAUUGAUGAUGUUUUCCACUUAGAUUAUUUAAUAAUAAAAUUAACAUUAUUAAGGUUUAGUUAAGUUAAUUAAAUUAGAUUAAUCAGAUCUUAAUUAAUACAUAUGUGUGUUGGUUUGUGAAAGGAAAGAUGAAAACAUUAUCAUCUUCUCCAUUUGCCACUGUCCUCCAUUGAAGAAAAAGGGAGAAAACCUUAAGCUUAAGCUAAACAUUCAACCACCACAUUGGUAAGAAAACUAAGCCUUUUUCAUGUAAUUUUUAUAGAUUUAUGAUCAUGAGAGCUUGAUUUAGCUAACCUAUGUAUCAAUUUUUUCAAUUGUUAAGUUUUUAGCAAGUUAUCAUUAUUGAUAAAUUGAUGAAUUAGGCUUGAAUUUGAUAAUUAUUAAGCUUAGAUCAUGAUAGGGACUAAAUUUUAAAAUUAAAUAAACUAGUUUGUUAGCUCCAUAACAUUAGGGACUAAAUUGAAUAAAUAAAAAACUUGUCAUAAAUUUAUGAUAGAAAUAUAAAGUAUAAAGUCCCUAAUGAAAGAAUAUAAAAUCGGAUUUUGAUCCAAAGUUAGGAAUCGAAAAAUAUGAUUAUCUCGAGUUUAGGGAAUAAAUUGAAUAAAAAGAAAAAUAUGUGUAUUUAAAAAGGGAUUAAUUAGGAUCAUGCAUCUAAAGGCGUUGUUGUUGUGAGUCAUUGAAAAGUCAUUGUGUGUUAAUAUAUGAUAUUGAUUUGAUAUUUAUAUAUAUUUGCAUAGAACAAGAAUUGGAUAAAAGUGGAGCAUGUAGAGGAAAGGCUAAAAUUGUGGAAUAGUCCUUCGAAAAUCUACUCAUUUUGUGUUUUGAAA